GUAGGGUGCAAGCGUUAAUCGGAAUUACUGGGCGUAAAGCGUGCGCAGGCGGGGUUUGUAAGUCUGACGUGAAAUCCCCGGGGCUUAACCUGGGAAUUGCGUUGGAGACUGCAAGGCUGGAGUCCCGGCAGAGGGGGGUAGAAUUCCACGUGUAGCAGUGAAAUGCGUAGAGAUGUGGAGGAACACCGAUGGCGAAGGCAGCCCCCUGGGUCAAGACUGACGCUCAUGCACGAAAGCGUGGGGAGCAAACAGGAUUAGAUACCCUGGUAGUCCACGCCCUAAACGAUGUCUACUAGUUGUCGGGUCUUAAUUGACUUGGUGACGCAGCUAACGCGUGAAGUAGACCGCCUGGGGAGUACGGUCGCAAGAUUA
rnacentral:rRNA from 1 species